rnacentral:rRNA from 1 species
AUCUCAAGCACCCACCAACACACCACAUCACUACACAUAAAGAACCUGCCCUCAGGUCUGGGAUAACCACGAGAAAUCGGGGCUAAUACCGGAUGGGUCAUCGGACCGCAUGGUCCGAGGAUGAAAGGCGCUUCGGCGUCGCCUGGGGAUGGCUUUGCGGUGCAUUAGCUAGUUGGUGGGGUAAUGGCCCACCAAGGCGACGAUGCAUAGCCGACCUGAGAGGGUGAUCGGCCACACUGGGACUGAGACACGGCCCAGACUCCUACGGGAGGCAGCAGUAGGGAAUCUUCCACAAUGGACGAAAGUCUGAUGGAGCAACGCCGCGUGAACGAUGAAGGCCUUCGGGUCGUAAAGUUCUGUUGUAAGGGAAGAACAAGUGCCGCAGGCAAUGGCGGCACCUUGACGGUACCUUGCGAGAAAGCCACGGCUAACUACGUGCCAGCAGCCGCGGUAAUACGUAGGUGGCAAGCGUUGUCCGGAAUUAUUGGGCGUAAAGCG